rnacentral:rRNA from 1 species
UAAGGAGGGCGCGAGCGUUACCCUGAUUUACUGGGCGUAAAGGGCGUGUAGGCGGCUUGGGGCGUCCCAUGUGAAAGGCCACGGCUCAACUGUGGAGGAGCGUGGGAUACGCUCAGGCUAGACGGUGGGAGAGGGUGGUGGAAUUCCCGGAGUAGCGGUGAAAUGCGCAGAUACCGGGAGGAACGCCGAUGGCGAAGCCAGCCACUUGUUCACAUGUGACGCUGAGGCGCGAAAGCGUGGGGAGCAAACCGG